CUUAGCUGAGCGCGGUAGUCAGCAGGCCGGAAACUGGACAGCAAGUGAGCGGCGUGCAGGUCGUGGUGGUCGUCCUCGCAGUGGUGCUGGUGACGACCGUGGUGUCGUGCGUCCUGGGAAACUCUAAGAUGGGCGCACGACUUUGGUCCGAGCGACGGUCCUCCCGUGCUGCCCAUCCCACCUCCGCCUCCCCCCACGCCCACACCGCCGUCACGCCUACCGCCUUCACACACUCGGUGUAACACGUGAGUCCAGAUCCGAAGGGGUUGUCACACUUAGCCCUCACACUCCAGCCACCUUCUGCAGUGAACAAUUACGUACUCGAUCCUGCAGGUAUGUCAGUGAUGGAGGGGACGUCGCCAACGCCGCCUGUUCCCGGGAGAUGAAGGUGACACGGCGACAGGAACCCGUCUCCCACAUUGAGAGCUGAGAGAGUUAGAACAAAAACGAACCAGAGAGAGAGAAAGAAAAAAAACUAAAAAAAAAUCAAUGAUUGCACUAUUGAUGGAUCUCACUCUCCCUCGCGUGCACCAUCACAUCGUUGUGUCGUCAGAGACUUGGGAGAACGGAACAUACACAUCCGUUCCCGAAGGCAGGGGAGCCCCGCCGCCGCCUUCAGCCAUUUGAGAAAAAUAGAGUAGUUUGCCCUCCAUUCGCGGGGCAGAAAGAAAAAGGGAAGCCGCUCGCCCGUCCACGGUAAAAAACGGGCAGUUGGCCUCACGUCGCUGGCUCGUGCGAAUUCCACCGCCUCCGCCUCCCCCUGCGCACGGGUGAGGGGAUAGUGAGAAGAGGUUGGAGAAAGGCCCGCCCGAUGGAGGAUUGGGAGGAUGAGCGUCAAGAAGGAGUGGGCUGCUCGACGAGAAGGAGGGCCAGGUCGAGGAGCAGGGCCAGACGCCUCGCCUCGGGGGUCCCAGGCCACCACGACUCGCCCAUGCUGUCACCUGCGCCUGACAUGUCGGUAAGUUUCCUGUAACUGUUGAUGAGUGGACUGUGGAAGGUAAGACACGAAGUGAUCACCCUGAAGGAGG
rnacentral:lncRNA from 1 species